AUUGAACGCUGGCGGCAUGCCUUACACAUGCAAGUCGAACGGCAGCACGGGAGCAAUCCUGGUGGCGAGUGGCGAACGGGUGAGUAAUAUAUCGGAACGUGCCCAGUCGUGGGGGAUAACGCAGCGAAAGCUGUGCUAAUACCGCAUACGAUCUCUGGAUGAAAGCGGGGGACCGUAAGGCCUCGCGCGAUUGGAGCGGCCGAUAUCAGAUUAGCUAGUUGGUGGGGUAAAGGCCCACCAAGGCGACGAUCUGUAGCUGGUCUGAGAGGACGACCAGCCACACUGGAACUGAGACACGGUCCAGACUCCUACGGGAGGCAGCAGUGGGGAAUUUUGGACAAUGGGCGCAAGCCUGAUCCAGCAAUGCCGCGUGCAGGAUGAAGGCCUUCGGGUUGUAAACUGCUUUUGUACGGAACGAAACGGCGAGCUCUAAUAAAGUUUGCUAAUGACGGUACCGUAAGAAUAAGCACCGGCUAACUACGUGCCAGCAGCCGCAGUAA
rnacentral:rRNA from 1 species